GGGAGGCGGAGCCGCCGAGCUCGCUGUGGCCCGGAUGUUUGGUGCAGCUGCCAGAUCCGCUGAUCUAGUGCUUCUCGAAAAAAACCUUCAGGCGGCCCAUGGAUUUAUAGCGCCCGUCACAAAGGGCAGGACCGCUGCAAAAAAAUGGAAUCUUAAAACUUUAGCCAUCGUUCGCUAAAGGAAAUGAAAGGAGAAAUUCAACAGUCGCUUGGAGCCUGGGUUUUGCUUACUGUCGAUAUUCAACCAGCAUGCCUUGGACUUUAUUGUGGGAAGACCCUAUUAUUUAAAAAUGGCUCAACUGAAAUAUAUGGAGAAUGUGGGGUAUGCCCAAGAGGACAGAGAACGAAUGCACAGAAAUAUUGUCAGCCUUGCACAGAAUCUCCUGAACUUUAUGAUUGGCUCUAUCUUGGAUUUAUGGCAAUGCUUCCUCUGGUUUUACAUUGGUUCUUCAUUGAAUGGUACUCGGGGAAAAAGAGUUCCAGCGCACUUUUCCAACACAUCACUGCAUUAUUUGAAUGCAGCAUGGCAGCUAUUAUCACCUUACUUGUGAGUGAUCCAGUUGGUGUUCUUUAUAUUCGUUCAUGUCGAGUAUUGAUGCUUUCUGACUGGUA
rnacentral:sRNA from 1 species